AGAGUUUGAUCAUGGCUCAGAACGAACGCUGGCGGCAUGCCUAACACAUGCAAGUCGAACGUGAUCCAGGCUUCGGUCUGGUGAAAGUGGCAAACGGGUGAGUAACGCGUGGGAACCUGCCCAGAGGUAGGGAAUAACUGCGGGAAACUGCGGCUAAUACCCUAUGUGUCCUGAGGGACAAAGAUUUAUCGCCUUUGGAGGGGCCCGCGUCGGAUUAGGUAGUUGGUGGGGUAACGGCCUACCAAGCCAUCGAUCCGUAGCUGGUCUGAGAGGAUGAUCAGCCACACUGGGACUGAGAUACGGCCCAGACUCCUACGGGAGGCAGCAGUGGGGAAUAUUGGACAAUGGGGGCAACCCUGAUCCAGCAAUGCCGCGUGAGUGAUGAAGGCCUUCGGGUUGUAAAGCUCUUUCGGCGGGGAAGAUGAUGACGGUACCCGCAGAAGAAGCCCCGGCUAACUUCGUGCCAGCAGCCGCGGUAAUACGAAGGGGGCUAGCGUUGUUCGGAAUUACUGGGCGUAAAAGGGCGCGUAGGCGGUGCUGUAAGUCAGGCGUGAAAUCCCCGGGCUCAACCUGGGAAUUGCGCAUGAUACUGCGGCGCUGGAAUGCGGGAGAGGAUGGCGGAAUUCCCAGUGUAGAGGUGAAAUUCGUAGAUAUUGGGAAGAACACCGGUGGCGAAGGCGGCCAUCUGGCCCGUGAUUGACGCUGAGGCGCGAAAGCGUGGGGAGCAAACAGGAUUAGAUACCCUAGUAGUCC
rnacentral:rRNA from 1 species